UGUCGGGAGUGGGCUAAUACAAGACCUGAAAGGGGAAUACGUCCGGCCCGCCGUGUGGGGUUUCUUAGCUCCCGACACCCAGCCC
rnacentral:ncRNA from 1 species